GAGGAUAUUAGAUUUUCUUAAUGUUCUGCACAUAACCAGCAGCUCGGCAACACGAUGUUGCCGAGAGCGAGACCCGAGCCAUGGAUGGCGAGUGUCGAGCGGUUGCGUCAAGUUAUCAAUACAUAAACCAGAACAUUUAGAAAAUAUUAUAUCC
rnacentral:ncRNA from 1 species